CGCAAUGGGCGAAAGCCUGACGCAGCGAUGCCGCGUGCGGGAUGAAGGCCUUCGGGUUGUAAACCGCUUUCAGCAGGGACGAAAUUGACGGUACCUGCAGAAGAAGCCCCCGGCCAACUACGUGCCAGCAGCCGCGGUAAUACGUAGGGGGCGAGCGUUGUCCGGAUUUAUUGGGCGUAAAGAGCUCGUAGGCGGUUCGAUAAGUCGGAUGUGAAAUCUCCACGCUCAACGUGGAGAGGCCAUUCGAUACUGUCGUGACUCGAGUCCGGUAGGGGAGUGUGGAAUUCCCGGUGUAGCGGUGAAAUGCGCAGAGAUCGGGAGGAACACCCGUAGCGAAGGCGGCACUCUGGGCCGGUACUGACGCUGAGGAGCGAAAGCGUGGGGAGCAAACAGGAUUAGAUACCCUGGUAGUCCACGCCGUAAACGUUGGGCACUAGGUGUGGGACUCUAUCGACGGGUUCCGUGCCGUAGCUAACGCAUUAAGUGCCCCGCCUGGGGAGUACGGCCGCAAGGCUA
rnacentral:rRNA from 1 species